rnacentral:tRNA from 1 species
GCCUGGCUGGCUCAGUUGGUGGAGCAUGGGACUCUGGAUCUUGGUGUUGUGAGUUCAAGCCCCAUGUUGGGUG